GUAACAAGGUUUCCGUAGGUGAACCUGCGGAAGGAUCAUUACCGAGUGCAGGUCUGCCCCCGGGCAGGCCUAACCUCCCACCCGUGAAUACCUGACCAACGUUGCUUCGGCGGUGCGCCCCCCCCGGGGGUAGCCGCCGGAGACCACACCGAACCUCCUGUCUUUAGUGUUGUCUGAGCUUGAUAGCAAACCUAUUAAAACUUUCAACAAUGGAUCUCUUGGUUCCGGCAUCGAUGAAGAACGCAGCGAACUGCGAUAAGUAAUGUGAAUUGCAGAAUUCAGUGAAUCAUCGAGUCUUUGAACGCACAUUGCGCCCCCUGGCAUUCCGGGGGGCAUGCCUGUCCGAGCGUCAUUGCUGCCCUUCAAGCCCGGCUUGUGUGUUGGGUCGUCGUCCCCCCCGGGGGACGGGCCCGAAAGGCAGCGGCGGCACCGCGUCCGGUCCUCGAGCGUAUGGGGCUUUGUCACCCGCUCGAUUAGGGCCGGCCGGGCGCCAGCCGGCGUCUCCAACCUUCUAUUUUACCAGGUUGACCUCGGAUCAGGUAGGGAUACCCGCUGAACUUAAGCAUAUCAAUAA
rnacentral:misc_RNA from 1 species